CUGAAAUUUCGUGGUGUCGUCUACCUACAAUAAGAAAUCAGAUUUCAAAUCCAAUUUGGAUUCUCAUAAUUUUUCAUAUAAUUCAGAUCUAUGCAUCAUUCCCAAUCUCUUAUUUAUUUUGAUGAACAAUAUUAUUGGUCAAACAAAUUCACAGUGGAUAAAAUUGAGUCAGUGGUAUGGCCUAUAAUAGUUGAAUAACCGAAUAUCUGUAUAAUGGACGAUGUUCUAUGAUAGCAAAAAAUGUAAUCAAAUUAGUUUUCUACUUAAAACUAACAAUUCAGAAAAUAAACAUCUGGAUUCUGUUCUUUGUAAAUAUCUUUUAAUAUUACUAAUAAGUUUUCAGUAUGAAUUGUUGUAUCAAAAUAUCAUUUUUAUAUUAAUGUAUUGGACUACUACAUUUACUUUAUAGUGGAAACUUUAAAGGACAACAGCCAUACAGAAUAGGAAAGCCAUGCACCGAGUGUACAGAGAGUGAUGGAGGAUUAUGUUCUAAUAAAUUAUGUGUGACAAGAAAUCAAUGUAAACAAUACGAUUUAAAUUGUGAGUGCAACCUGAACUGUUAUAAUUGCGGGACAUUGAAUAAGGAAAAAUGCAAAUGUGAAUGCAAAAGAGGAUGGGAUGGAAUUGAUUGUUCAAUUCCGUGUGCUGACGAAAAUCAAAACUGCAGACCUUGGAUAUGCAAUAGUCCUAAUUUUAAUAAAAAU